CUCGGACUCAAGUGUCCCGCGGGUCUCAGGUGGUCGUCAAUAAUUUAUUUUAUUGUGUCCGUUUUUUCUGUGCAUCACCUUGACCCUCUCGCUUCUAGAGGGUGUGGAAGGCUGUGGUUGGCGUGCUGCUUCAUCGUGAGGCCCCUGGGAGCUGUGUGGCACUAAGCCUCCGUGGGUGCUAGGCCGUGAUGGAUGCCGAGGGCCAGUGGUCGGGAAGCUCCCCCGCUGAGCACCGCUACGCUACUCAAGGGCCGCUCGCCACCAGCGCCGAAUGCCACUGAGGGCAGGCAGGUAUCGGCCACAUCUCAGCGGAGAGGCGGGAGGCUGCGGCAGUAAGCUUGGUUUGCUAAUUAGGCUUCAGCCUCCCUCUGAAGCGGCGAUCCAAAGCAAUCAUGCUCAAGGAUCAUAAUUGCUGGCUUGAAUAUGAUUUUAUCACACCUGGAGGCGACUCUAAGCUGUGUUGUCAGCAUAACGUGGCCUCGAGGACUGUGUUCACCCGUGCAGCUGGAACAGCCAAGGCAGCCGUGUAAUUAUUUCUAUUAAGCCUCUCAUAUCACUUGAAGUGUUUCAAGAAAAGAAAUAAAUUGGCCCCUGUUUGGAAAGUCUUCUCUUUCUUUUACUUCUUUUUGUAAGGGCAGAUAAGUGGGUUAUGUUUUUUCUCUCCUUUCUUUUUCUUUACCACUGUUGCCAACUUCCUUUACUUUAUAAAAAAAAUAUAUAUAUUUGCCUCGUGAAAGAUUUUUAAA